rnacentral:rRNA from 1 species
AUUGAACGCUGGCGGCAGGCCUAACACAUGCAAGUCGAACGAGUGGCGGACGGGUGAGUAAUGUCUGGGAAACUGCCUGAUGGAGGGGGAUAACUACUGGAAACGGUAGCUAAUACCGCAUACCAUCAGAUGUGCCCAGAUGGGAUUGGCUGGUUGGUGGGGUAACGGCUCACCAAGGCGACGAUCCCUAGCUGGUCUGAGAGGAGGACCAGCCCAACUGGAAUGAAGAACCGCUCCGGAUUCCUACGGGGGGCAGCAGUGGGGAAUUUUCGAAAUUGGGCGAAGGCCGGAGGCAGCACUGCCCGGUGUAUGAAGAAGGCUUCCGGGUUGAAAAGUCCUUUCAGCGGGGAGGCGUUACCCGCAGAAGAAGCACCGGCUAACUCCGUGCCAGCAGCCGCGGUAAUUC